CGAGAAGUGAGGCGUAAGCAAAGCACCUUACCGCAGUGGGGGUUGUUUGACUCGUUUCGGAGUAAGAACAAGGCUUAUGCUACAGGAUACCAGGGACCCAUGCCAUGCCAUAGAAGGGCAAAGUAGUAGCAGCACUCCACCAGAGAUUGCUUGUUUAUCUCCUGCUAUUUCCUCCCCACAACUUUUUGGCACAGCUACUAAAGACAGCAGAAUAAAAUACAAGGAAACCUUUAUUUUUCAGUUUUAUCAAGAUUUUUUUCAUCUUUUUUAGCUGUUUAUUAGUGGACAAGUCCAGUCAGUUUUUGUAUUAAAAACGAUCUUGAUGGAGGUA